rnacentral:lncRNA from 1 species
AUUUCAGGAAUGCUUGUCCAAGUUUACUCGAUAUAAUUCAGUACGACCUUUAGCCACAUUGUCAUAUGCUAGUGAUCUCUAUAAUGGUUCCAGUAUAGUCUCUAGUAUUGAAUUUGACCGGGAUUGUGACUAUUUUGCGAUUGCUGGAGUUACAAAGAAGAUUAAAGUCUAUGAAUAUGACACUGUCAUCCAGGAUGCAGUGGAUAUUCAUUACCCUGAGAAUGAAAUGACCUGCAAUUCGAAAAUCAGCUGUAUCAGGUUCUGAUGAUGCAAAAGUGAAGCUGUGGUCUACCAAUCUAGACAACUCAGUGGCAAGCAUUGAGGCAAAGGCUAAUGUGUGCUGUGUUAAAUUCAGCCCCUCUUCCAGAUACCAUUUGGCUUUCGGCUGUGCAGAUCACUGUGUCCACUACUAUGAUCUUCGUAACACUAAACAGCCAAUCAUGGUAUUCAAAGGACACCGUAAAGCAGUCUCUUAUGCAAAGUUUGUGAGUGGUGAGGAAAUUGUCUCUGCGUGAGUAUUACUCUCCUCAGAGGUUGAGCUUAAUACAGAGCUCUGUACUUACCUACCAGCUUGUAAUGUCACUGAGGGUGUAUGUAAACUAUAAUAUUGGAGUAUAUGUACUUUUUCUUAAAUAGUAGAUUUUUUUUUUAAUCUUGUCCAAUUAAAGUAGUGUGGUUUCUGGUCUGUAUUGUGCACUUUUAUAUGUGAAUUGUGGGUAAAAUCCUGAAGAUACUAGUUUUUUAUAUACCCUCCCCCCUUAUCUCAUCCUCCUAUGUUUAAUUGCAUUUGAACUUCAGAUUAGAUUUUAGCUAUUGCUUCUAAAGAAGAGAUAAACAACAUAGUUGAUGCAAUAGAAUGAGAAGUAUUUUAUUUAUUAAAGUCAACUCAUGUGUUACUGUGUAUUUUAUCUACUUGCAGUAUAGUAGUAGAAUUAUUUUUGGUUUUAAAUAUUACUUGGUUGGCUUUUACACUGACAUGGUCAUUUAUCUGUGAUUUCAUGGUGACUUUAAAUAUGUUGAAAAGAAAACUUUUUUUUUUUGGCACAGAGUCUCGCUCUGUCACCCAGGCUGGAGUGCAGUGGUGUGAUCUCCGCUCACUGCAGCAUCUGCCCCCCAGGUUCAAGUGAUUCUCCUGCCUCAGCCUCCCAAGUAGCUGGGACUACAGGCACGUGCUACCACGCCCGACUAAUUUUUGUAUUUUUAGUAGAGACGGUGUUUUGCUAUGUUGGCCAGGCUGGUCUCGAACUCCAGACCUCAGGUGGUCCACCUGCCUCGGCCUACCAAAUUGCUUGGAAUACAAGCGUGAGCCACCACGCCUGGCCGACAGAUGAACGUGCUAACUCAGUCUGGCUCCAGAGCCUGCAUUCUUAACCAGCAAACUGCAUUGCCUCUAAUUAGUAGUGAUGAGUUUCGUGCCAAGAAAUUUUAAGUAAGUUCUUACUCUUUGUACUUUUCCUCAGCUCAACAGACAGUCAGCUAAAACUGUGGAAUGUAGGGAAACCAUACUGCCUACGUUCCUUCAAGGGUCAUAUCAAUGAAAAAAACUUUGUAGGCCUGGCUUCCAAUGGAGAUUAUAUAGCUUGUGGAAGUGAAAAUAACUCUCUCUACCUGUACUAUAAAGGACUUUCUAAGACUUUGCUAACUUUUAAGUUUGAUACAGUCAAAAGUGUUCUCGACAAAGACCGAAAAGAAGAUGAUACAAAUGAAUUUGUUAGUGCUGUGUGCUGGAGGGCACUACCAGAUGGGGAGUCCAAUGUGCUGAUUGCUGCUAACAGUCAGGGUACAAUUAAGGUGCUAGAAUUGGUAUGAAGGGUUAACUCAAGUCAAAUUGUACUUGAUCCUGCUGAAAUACAUCUGCAGCUGACAAUGAGAGAAGAAACAGAAAAUGUCAUGUGAUGUCUCUCCCCAAAGUCAUCAUGGGUUUUGGAUUUGUUUUGAAUAUUUUUUUCUUUUUUUCUUUUCCCUCCUUUAUGACCUUUGGGACAUUGGGAAUACCCAGCCAACUCUCCACCAUCAAUGUAACUCCAUGGACAUUGCUGCUCUUGGUGGUGUUAUCUAAUUUUUGUGAUAGGGAAACAAAUUCUUUUGAAUAAAAAUAAAUAACAAAACAAUAAAAGUUUAUUGAGCCACA